AGAUCCCUUCAAAAGCAAGUUCUGUGGAGUGCUUCGCGGCUCAUUCUCGGUCGUCUAGGAGAUGACUGAUUCAGAUGUAUUCAGAAGAAAACCCAAGUAUACCUCCGGGCGGAAGAAGAUUUGCUCCAGGAGGGAUCGCACCGUGCGAUGGCAGUCCCCGGGGUGGUCUCCAGUUAAGCCCGUCCCAGAGCAGGCAUCCCAUCCACCUCGGCCAAGGCAGUGAUUGUCUCGGGGCAGCAUCAUCAUCAUCUUCAGGAACAUGACGGCCGGUGAAGAAGAUAAAUACAGAGCCUUCUAACAAGACUCCUUCAGACAUACGGAGAAGUCACUGAGUAUACAAGUAAUAAUCGUUUUGUGAAAUAUAUGUAUGCUGAAGUAGAUUGUCUUUUUAAAAAUUUUCAAUACUAAAGACAAAAUCCUAUAUUUGCAUUUCAUUUUGCAGCACUUGUUUUGCAGGUUUCUUGUAGCUGUGGUUCUGUCCUCGGGCCGUGGUGGUGGCAGCAUCGUCAGGCGCAUGAUGGUCGGAGUGAGAAAACAGCGUCUCCUAACAAGCCAGCUUCAGAGAUACGGAAGAGUCAUCGUGUAAUGAGCAGACCGCACGCUGACCGCUCGGCCGCCGCCUCCCCCGAUGUGGUGAUGCAAAAUUGAACCCUGGCCCCACAGGUUCACGCCGUACUGGCAGUUCUAUUUUUGAUCAGGGAAGUUCAUAAGAAUUUUAAAGAUCGUGUCGUCGCGAGUCGUUCCUUGGGCGUGAUCAUUUGCGCCGAAACUUUGGUCUCUGGUUACCGUCACGGCGCGGAGUUUUGAUUCCCGGGUGUGUCAGCCUUUGGAGGUCCGUCGUGACUCUUCCAAUAGGCGUCGCGGUGUGUCGGUGCACGCGAUGUAUUACAGAUGUUUCCUGCACCAGUUGCUCUGUCUUGAUGUUGUAGCAGCAUCUUCAGGCACGUGUUUCGGUUCUCCAGACGUAUUAUGAACAAUGAAAAGACACCAUCCGCCUGGCAAGACAGCUUUGAACAUACGGAGAAGGCAUCGGGAAGCUAAGUACUAAUCAAGGGUUGCAUUUUGCAUUUUUCGCAAGUAUUUCAAUGAGGAUUUGCCUGUACUGAAAUGUCCGUGUUAAACUUUAAUGUGUUCUAAAUGAAAAAAUCUCGGCAGGUGGACGUGGUGAUGACCGAACACUUGGACGAUGGGAUACAGCGAUAGUGACGUGACAGUGAUAGUGGUACAGUGAUAGCGAUACAGUGAUAGUGACGUGACAGUGAUAGUGGCACAGUGAUAGUGGUACAGCGAUAGUGACGUGACAGUGAUAGUGGUACAGUGAUAGUGAUACAGUGAUAGUGAUAGUGGCACAGUGAUAGUGAUACAGUGAUAGUGACGUGACAGUGAUAGUGGUACAGUGAUAGUGAUACAGUGAUAGUGACACAGCGGUGCCAGAAAACAUUGUUGUGACCGAGUUGUGACUUGUGACAGCGUCGUGAAUACCGGACCAACGCGUCCCCCACGCCACGCCCAGGGGUGAGCCUUGUGUCCUGAGGCCGCCCCGCCCGCAGGGGCCCGGAGGAAGCGGCGCGUCGCUGCAUCGGGCCUGCCGGAAGUAUGCGUCCCGCGCCUCCUGGCCCGCCACAAGGCGCGGGAGGUGCGUGGGCGGCAGAAACCCCACUGAGCCUUGAUGCAGCGCCGCGUCGGGGGCGCCGGGCCCCUGCCGCCCCUUCAAAGCUGACCUCCUGGCUGGCGGAGGCCGCGGCGCCGGCCGGCCGGCAAGGAGGCGCCUGCUCGCUCUUCUCUUCAGUUCGGUGAGU